rnacentral:tRNA from 1 species
UAUCUCAGUUGGUAAAGAUUCUGUCUGCAGUGCAGGAGACCCAGGUUCAAUCCCUGG